rnacentral:sRNA from 2 species
GUGCACCACGCGUACACUCCGGUUUUGAGCGCGCCGUCCAAACCCGCCUGACGACGACGCGCUACGUUUUAUAAACC